UGGGGAAUCUUGGACAAUGGGGGCAACCCUGAUCCAGCCAUGCCGCGUGAGUGAUGAAGGCCUUAGGGUCGUAAAGCUCUUUCGCCUGUGAAGAUAAUGACGGUAGCAGGUAAAGAAACCCCGGCUAACUCCGUGCCAGCAGCCGCGGUAAUACGGAGGGGGUUAGCGUUGUUCCGAAUUACUGGGCGUAAAGCGCACGUAGGCGGACCAGAAAGUUGGGGGUGAAAUCCCGGGGGCUCAACCCCGGAACUGCCUCCAAAACUAUUGGUCUAGAGUUCGAGAGAGGUGAGUGGAAUUCCAAGUGUAGAGGUGAAAUUCGUAGAUAUUUGGAGGAACACCAGUGGCGAAGGCGGCUCACUGGCUCGAUACUGACGCUGAGGUGCGAAAGUGUGGGGAGCAAACAGGAUUAGAUACCCUGGUAGUCCACACCGUAAAACGAUGAAUGCCAGUCGUCGGGUAGCAUGCUAUUCGGUGACACACCUAACGGAUUAAGCAUUCCGCCUGGGGAGUACGGUCGCAAGAUU
rnacentral:rRNA from 1 species